rnacentral:rRNA from 1 species
UACGAAGGGGGCUAGCGUUGCUCGGAAUUACUGGGCGUAAAGGGCUCGUAGGUGGCCAACUAAGUCAGACGUGAAAUCCCUCAGCUUAACUGGGGAACUGCGUCUGAUACUGGAUGGCUUGAGUUUGGGAGAGGGAUGCGGAAUUCCAGGUGUAGCGGUGAAAUGCGUAGAUAUCUGGAGGAACACCGGUGGCGAAGGCGGCAUCCUGGACCAACACUGACACUGAUGAGCGAAAGCGUGGGGAGCGAACAGG